CCUACGGGUGGCAGCAGUGAGGAAUAUUGGUCAAUGGUCGGGAUCCUGAACCAGCCAAGCCGCGUGAGGGAUGACGGUACUGUGUAUUGUAAACCUCUUUUGUCAGGGAACAAAAUCCGGGACGCGUCCCCGGCUGCGUGUACCUGAAGAAAAAGCAUCGGCUAACUCCGUGCGAGCAGCCGCGGUAAUACGGAGGAUGCGAGCGGUAUCCGGAUUUAUUGGGUUUAAAGGGUGCGUAGGCGGUCUGUUAAGUCAGCGGUCAAAGCCCGGGGCUCAACCCCGGCCCGCCGUUGAAACUGGCAGUCUCGAGUUGGAGAGAAGUAUGCGGAAUGCGCGGUGUAGCGGUGAAAUGCAUAGAUAUCGCGCAGAACUCCGAUUGCGAAGGCAGCAUGCCGGCUCCACACUGACGCUGAGGCACGAAAGCGUGGGUAUCGAACAGGAUUAGAUACCCCUGUAGUC
rnacentral:rRNA from 1 species